AGUCAUAUGCUUGUCUCAAAGAUUAAAGCCAUGCAUGUCUAAGUAUAAGCAUUUAUACGGCGAAACUGCGAAUGGCUCAUUAUAUAAGUUAUCGUUUAUUUGAUAGCACCUUCUUACUCGGAUACCUGUGGUAAUUCUAGAGCUAAUACGUGCUGAAAUGCUCGACUCACGAAGAGCUGUAUUUAUUAGAUUAAAAACCAAUGCCCUUCGGGGCUUUCUGGUGAUUCAUGAUAACUUCUCGAAUCGCAUGGCCUUGCGCCGGCGAUGGUUCAUUCAAAUUUCUUCCCUAUCAACUUUCGAUGCGAGGGUCUUGUCCUCGCAUGGUUUCAACGGGUGACGGAGGGUUAGGGCUCGACCCCGGAGAAGGAGCCUGAGAAACGGCUACUACAUCCAAGGAAGGCAGCAGGCGCGCAAAUUACCCAAUCCCGACACGGGGAGGUAGUGACAAUAAAUACUGAUACAGGGCUCUUUUGGGUCUUGUAAUCGGAAUGAGUACUAUUUAAAUCCCAUAACGAGGAACAAUUGGAGGGCAAGUCUGGUGCCAGCAGCCGCGGUAAUUCCAGCUCCAAUAGCGUAUAUUAAAGUUGUUGUGGUUAAAAAGCUCGUAGUUGAACCUUGGGCCUGGCUUGUCGGUCCCCCUCACCGGGUGCACCGAUCCAGCCGGGUCUUUCCCGCUGUGGAACCCCAUGGCCUUCACUGGUCGUGGCGGGGAAACAGGACUUUUACUUUGAAAAAAUUAGAGUGCUCCAGGCAGGCUUAUGCUCGAAUACAUUAGCAUGGAAUAAUAAAAUAGGACGCGUGGUUCUAUUUUGUUGGUUUUUAGAACCGCCGUAAUGAUUAAUAGGGACAGUCGGGGGCAUCUGUAUUCAAUUGUCAGAGGUGAAAUUCUUGGAUCUAUUGAAGACAAACUACUGCGAAAGCAUUUGCCAAGGAUGUUUUCAUUGAUAAGGAACGAAAGUUAGGGGAUCGAAGACGAUCAGAUACCGUCGUAGUCUUAACUAUAAACUAUGCCGACUAGGGAUCGGACGAUGUUAUCAUUUGACUCGUUCGGCACCUUUCGAGAAAUCAAAGUGCUUGGGCUCCAGGGGGAGUAUGGUCGCAAGGCUGAAACUUAAAGAAAUUGACGGAAGGGCACCACCAGGGGUGGAACCUGCGGCUUAAUUUGACUCAACACGGGGAAACUCACCAGGUCCAGACACAGUGAGGAUUGACAGAUUGAUAGCUCUUUCUUGAUUCUGUGGGUGGUGGUGCAUGGCCGUUCUUAGUUGGUGGAGUGAUUUGUCUGCUUAAUUGCGAUAACGAACGAGACCUUAACCUGCUAAAUAGCCCGUUCUGCUCCGGCAGUACGCUGGCUUCUUAGAGGGACUAUCGGCUCAAGCCGAUGGAAGUUUGAGGCAAUAACAGGUCUGUGAUGCCCUUAGAUGUCCUGGGCCGCACGCGCGUUACACUGACAAAGCCAGCGAGUAUUUCCUUAGCCGGAAGGCUUGGGUAAUCUUGUUAAACUUUGUCGUGCUGGGGAUAGAGCAUUGCAAUUAUUGCUCUUGAACGAGGAAUCCCUAGUAAGCGCAAGUCAUCAGCUUGCGUUGAUUACGUCCCUGCCCUUUGUACACACCGCCCGUCGCUACUACCGAUUGAACGGCUCAGUGAGGUUUUCGGACUGGCCUAGGGAGGCGGGCAACUGCCACCCAGGGCCGGAAAGUUACCCAAACUCGGUCGUUUAGAGGAAGUAAAAGUCGUAACAAGGUCUCCGUAGGUGAA
rnacentral:rRNA from 1 species